rnacentral:rRNA from 1 species
GACGAACGCUGGCGGCGUGCCUAAUACAUGCAAGUUGAACGCUUGAUUUUCACCGAAGCUUGCUUCACCGAAAAUCAAGAGUAGCGAACGGGUGAGUAACGCGUGGGUAACCUACCUAUCAGCGGGGGAUAACUAUUGGAAACGAUAGCUAAUACCGCAUAACAAUGUUGAAUGCAUAUUCGACAUUUGAAAGUACCAAUUGGUACACUGAGAGAUGGACCCGCGUUGUAUUAGCUAGUUGGUAGUGUAAUGGACUACCAAGGCGAUGAUACAUAGCCGACCUGAGAGGGUGAUCGGCCACAUUGGGACUGAGACACGGCCAAACUCCUACGGGAGGCAGCAGUAGGGAAUCUUCGGCAAUGGACGAAAGUCUGACCGAGCAACGCCGCGUGAGUGAAGAAGGUUUUCGGAUCGUAAAACUCUGUUGUUAGAGAAGAACGUUGCAUAGAGUGGAAAAAUUAUAGAAGUGACGGUAUCUAAACCAGAAAGGGAACGGCUAACUACGUACG